ACUCCAGGAGCAGAAAUACACUGGGAUGUUUGCAAUGACCGAGAGGGGCCAUGGGAGCAACGCGAGAGGGAUCCAGACCGAAGCCACCUUUGACCUCUCUGCCCAGAUGGGGAAACAGAGGCUCACGGAGGUUAAGCAGCUGACUCUGGCUAUGCAGUUAAUGACAUAAAUGACUUAGCUACCUGGCGUGCCUCGGCAGCUACCACUGUCUGAUAGGGGACCUGCAAAGUUGCAAUCAUAAUGACGAGGGGCCUCUGGUGAACACUGUCUCCCGUGGGGCUGGGAGAGAGAACAAUCCCAUCAUAAACUCAUACCACCGAGAACUGACAUAGCAGGAAUGUAUUUCUCCCUUCACUGGGUUCUGUGUUUUCCCCUUCAUUUCCCUUUCAAAAUGCUAGAGCUUAUUAAAUAAGUGUUCUCUCCCCAAGGACCAUUUAAAUCUCUUA
rnacentral:lncRNA from 10 species